AACCAUUGCAUAAAGCAAUGCUGAACGCACAGAAGUCAGCAAAGGCCAUAGUAGCCGAGAGGUGAAGGAC
rfam:Human gut metagenome DNA, contig sequence: In-R_000586.